UACGAAGGGGGCUAGCGUUGUUCGGAAUCACUGGGCGUAAAGCGCACGUAGGCGGAUCUUUAAGUCAGAGGUGAAAUCCCAAGGCUCAACCUUGGAACUGCCUUUGAUACUGGGGAUCUCGAGUCCGGGAGAGGUGAGCGGAACUGCGAGUGUAGAGGUGAAAUUCGUAGAUAUUCGGCGGAACACCAGUGGCGAAGGCGACUCACUGGCCCGAUACUGACGCUGAGGCGCGAAAGCGUGGGGAGCAAACAGGG
rnacentral:rRNA from 1 species